rnacentral:rRNA from 1 species
GGGCUUAACACAUGCAAGUCGAGGGGCAGCAUGGUCUUAGCUUGCUAAGGCCGAUGGCGACCGGCGCACGGGUGAGUAACACGUAUCCAACCUGCCGUCUACUCUUGGACAGCCUUCUGAAAGGAAGAUUAAUACAAGAUGGCAUCAUGAGUCCGCAUGUUCACAUGAUUAAAGGUAUUCCGGUAGACGAUGGGGAUGCGUUCCAUUAGAUAGUAGGCGGGGUAACGGCCCACCUAGUCUUCGAUGGAUAGGGGUUCUGAGAGGAAGGUCCCCCACAUUGGAACUGAGACACGGUCCAAACUCCUACGGGAGGCAGCAGUGAGGAAUAUUGGUCAAUGGGCGAGAGCCUGAACCAGCCAAGUAGCGUGAAGGAUGACUGCCCUAUGGGUUGUAAACUUCUUUUAUAAAGGAAUAAAGUCGGGUAUGGAUACCCGUUUGCAUGUACUUUAUGAAUAAGGAUCGGCUAACUCCGUGCCAGCAGCUGCGGUAAUACGGAGGAUCCGAGCGUUAUCCGGAUUUAUUGGGUUUAAAGGGAGCGUAGAUGGAUGUUUAAGUCAGUUGUGAAAGUUUGCGGCUCAACCGUAAAAUUGCAGUUGAUACUGGAUAUCUUGAGUGCAGUUGAGGCAGGCGGAAUUCGUGGUGUAGCGGUGAAAUGCUUAGAUAUCACGAAGAACUCCGAUUGCGAAGGCAGCCUGCUAAGCUGCAACUGACAUUGAGGCUCGAAAGUGUGGGUAUCAAACAGGAUUAGAUACCCUGGUAGUCCAUACGGUAAACGAUGAAUACUCGCUGUUUGCGAUAUACUGCAAGCGGCCAAGCGAAAGCGUUAAGUAUUCCACCUGGGGAGUACGCCGGCAACGGUGAAACUCAAAGGAAUUGACGGGGGCCCGCACAAGCGGAGGAACAUGUGGUUUAAUUCGAUGAUACGCGAGGAACCUUACCCGGGCUUAAAUUGCAGAUGAAUUACGGUGAAAGCCGUAAGCCGCAAGGCAUCUGUGAAGGUGCUGCAUGGUUGUCGUCAGCUCGUGCCGUGAGGUGUCGGCUUAAGUGCCAUAACGAGCGCAACCCUUGUUGUCAGUUACUAACAGGUUCCGCUGAGGACUCUGACAAGACUGCCAUCGUAAGAUGUGAGGAAGGUGGGGAUGACGUCAAAUCAGCACGGCCCUUACGUCCGGGGCUACACACGUGUUACAAUGGGGGGUACAGAGGGCCGCUACCACGCGAGUGGAUGCCAAUCCCCAAAACCUCUCUCAGUUCGGACUGGAGUCUGCAACCCGACUCCACGAAGCUGGAUUCGCUAGUAAUCGCGCAUCAGCCACGGCGCGGUGAAUACGUUCCCGGGCCUUGUACACACCGCCCGUCAAGCCAUGGGAGCCGGGGGUACCUGAAGUGCGUAACCGCGAGGAGCGCCCUAGGGUAAAACUGGUGACUG